rnacentral:rRNA from 1 species
ACGAUGGAUAGGGGUUCUGAGAGGAAGGUCCCCCACAUUGGUACUGAGACACGGACCAAACUCCUACGGGAGGCAGCAGUGAGGAAUAUUGGUCAAUGGGCGUAAGCCUGAACCAGCCAAGUCGCGUGAGGGAUGAAGGUUCUAUGGAUCGUAAACCUCUUUUAUAAGGGAAUAAAGUGCGGGACGUGUCCCGUUUUGUAUGUACCUUAUGAAUAAGGAUCGGCUAACUCCGUGCCAGCAGCCGCGGUAAUACGGAGGAUCCGAGCGUUAUCCGGAUUUAUUGGGUUUAAAGGGUGCGUAGGCGGCCUUUUAAGUCAGCGGUGAAAGUCUGUGGCUCAACCAUAGAAUUGCCGUUGAAACUGGGAGGCUUGAGUAUGUUUGAGGCAGGCGGAAUGCGUGGUGUAGCGGUGAAAUGCUUAGAUAUCACGCAGAACCCCGAUUGCGAAGGCAGCCUGCCAAGCCAUGACUGACGCUGAUGCACGAAAGCGUGGGGAUCAAACAGGAUUAGAUACCCUGGUAGUCCACGCAGUAAACGAUGAUCACUAGCUGUUUGCGAUACAGUGUAA